CGACGUGAGUAACCUGCCCUGGAGUGGGGAAUAACAGCUGGAAACAGCUGCUAAUACCGCAUAAUGCAGUUGGGUCGCAUGGCUCUGACUGCCAAAGAUUUAUCGCUCUGGGAUGGACUCGCGUCUGAUUAGCUAGUUGGUGGGGUAACGGCCCACCAAGGCGACGAUCAGUAGCCGGACUGAGAGGUUGGCCGGCCACAUUGGGACUGAGACACGGCCCAGACUCCUACGGAAGGCAGCAG
rnacentral:rRNA from 1 species